rnacentral:rRNA from 1 species
UACGUAGGUGGCGAGCGUUGUCCGGAUUUACUGGGUGUAAAGGGCGUGUAGGCGGGGAUGUAAGUCAGAUGUGAAAUUCCAUGGUUCAACUGUGGGGCUGCAUCUGAAACUAUAUCUCUUGAGUGCUGGAGAGGAAAGCGGAAUUCCUAGUGUAGCGGUGAAAUGCGUAGAUAUUAGGAGGAACACCAGUGGCGAAGGCGGCUUUCUGGACAGUAACUGACGCUGAGGCGCGAAAGCGUGGGGAGCAAACAGG